CAGUCGCCACGGUAAAACAGAGGUCUCAAGCGUUGUUCGGAUUCAUUGGGCGUAAAGGGUGCGUAGGUGGCGGGGUAAGUCUGGUGUGAAGUCUCGGGGCUCAACCCCGAAACUGCACUGGAUACUGCCUUGCUAGAGUACUGGAGAGGAGAUUGGAAUUUACGGUGUAGCAGUGAAAUGCGUAGAUAUCGUAAGGAAGACCAGUGGCGAAGGCGAAUCUCUGGACAGUUACUGACACUGAGGCACGAAGGCCAGGGGAGCAAACGGGAUUAGAUACCCGUGUAGUCCCUGUCUCUUAUAC
rnacentral:rRNA from 1 species